rnacentral:lncRNA from 1 species
GGAGCUGGAGGAGGACUUUUCUUUUAUUAUUUUCUUUACUGUUCUUCCGGACGGCUCUCGAGUGGGCCGCCUUCAGGCAGCUGAUGGGAGGUUGGCUCGGGCAGAGAGGGGACUGAAGUGGGCGGCUCUCGGUGCGGCGGAUGGCAGGUAUACGGCUGGCUUGCUGAGGAAAACUGGAAAAAGGAGAGGUGGACUUUUCGGGAGCAGAGGAAGGAUCAAAAGGGGGGAGCAGGGGACGGCUGAAAAAGAAGGGAGACCUGUAGAGGAAGAGGAGGAAACCAGGCAGAAGGAGCUCCCUUGUGCGCGGUAAAUUUCCAUUUCUUAACGCCUACUUCACCAUUUGAUAAUGUAUGCAUGAUAUCUCCUUGUUUGCUGUGGACAUCAAAGGCCACAGGUUUGGUUUUGGGUUGAACCCGUUUGUAUGCACACUAUGCUCUGUUCCCGUUUUCAUUUCUCUUUGGUGCUCAUCUCUGUACAUGUAUGGUCGUCAUCAUCCUCAUGCUCCCCUAGUGCACCUCAUUUUCCUUCUUUGAAUUUCAUGGGUCUUUCACGUCAUAAGCCUCCACUACCACCUCUUCUCUCCCUACUGUUUCCCUACCACGUUCAUACCCAUCAUGUCUAGGGUGCUUCACCAGCUGCCUGGCGUUCAUGCCCACCAUAUCUAUUAUCAUUCAUCCUUGUCGUCCCGUCAAGCUGCCUCAUCAAACCCAUUUUCCUACUCCCCCAUAUCCAUACUCAUAUACCCGCACCCCGCCAUGCAAAGACCACCCCUGACUCUCAUCUCCGUUUUCCAAUGCCUGUAAAAGUCAUCCCCUCUCACCUUAGCAUGCCCAUGUACAGCUACUUCACACCCUGCCAUAGCCUCCAUCUCUCUCAAAACCUUCAUCGGAUACAUACCAUCCUGACCACGUCUUCUCCGUCAAGCAUCUUCUUGCCUGCGCGUUCCUAGUGGUCUCCACGCUGUCGCAAGUCGGAUCAACCCCGAGGUCGCUGGCCGGAAUCCCAAGGUCGUUGUCGAUGGAGGCGAUCUAGCUGGAGGGUUCGCUGUCGAAGUGCUAGCUGAAGAUGGCAUCGAUAUUGUUCUCGGGAGAGUGGAGCUCGGAUAACUGCCAGCUCCAUGGCCGCGUCACGCCUCCGUGCUUGGUCGGAGAGUCCAGUCCUCCUUUGGAUACCACCGACCGGCGUGCCACCAGAACGAAGAUGACCCUUCCCCCCGGACGUCGGCGUCGACAGCAGCCGGACGUGGAAGCCCCCCACGAGCGCGUCAGGAUGGCUCGUCGCGGAUGGCCCGUCGCGGAUGGCCUAUCACUUCCUCAAUCGCCGCCGUUUGCUUCGUCACCACGCAGCCACGCGCUUCUGCCGCCGGCACCGCCGUCGUCAAUGGUCUUUCUCCUCGAGAUGGGCGCGCCAUCCCCUCCAGCCGGAAAGCUAUGAAGUGGGUGCGCAAGGACCAGGCCUGCUGGAGACAUGCAUGCAUGCACGCGUGGAGGGCCCAAUACCCAUGGGCCUCACCUGAAGGAUCUCUUCCACCUUGGGCCUGCCUUUGAGUGCAUCCCGUUUAGCAUACUCACCUGGAUAUACAAGCCCAUUUGGCUACUUCAGCUCUAAAAUAAAUUUUCAAAUUUCUAACCUUAGGAAUUUAUUAAUGUAUUCAUCUUUUUUUUUUGUUUUUUUUUUAUUUUUUUUUUAUCAUAUUUUAUUUUUAUCAAUUUAGAUUAGCUCGACUUAAGCGUAAUUAAAAGACAAAUUAUUAAGGUUGAAUAUGGUUUUUAAAACUUAAAAUAAUUUAUAUUUUAUCUUCAUUGCUUUAGUUUUGCCUAAUCAUCAUGUAUGAAAAUUUCUAUAUAAUCGAUUUAUGUUGAUCUCAAUGAAUUUUCUACAUUCCGAAUUUUAAGUCCCAUAUUCAAAACCUAUGUCUUUAGAAACCAUUCAUAAAAAAUCCGACAUCCUAAAUUAAUUUUCAAUGCCGAAUAUUCGACUGUUUAGAAACUAUUCUUGGUAUUAUUAUUAUUAGUCCGUACUCAUGUAUUUAAUUCCUUUUAAAAAUUCCAAUCACUAAAAUUCACUUCUUCAAAAAUUCGACUUCCUAAAUUAAUUUUCAAUUUCAAAUAUCCGACUAUUUACUUUCAUCUGUUUAAAUAUAAUUCUUGUUAUUAUUGUUAUUAGUCCGUAUUUAUGUAUUUAAUUCUCCUAAAAACUCCAAUCAUUAAAAUUCAAUUCUUCAAAGAAACCUGACUUCUUAAAUUAAUUUUCAAUCUCAAAAUUUCCACUAUUCAAUUUCGCUCACUUAAAUAUUAUAUUCGUUAAUUAUUAUUAUUACUUCAUAUAUAUUUAUUCAUCCUCUUCUAAGAUUCGCACUCAUUAAAGUCCAAUUCCUUCAAAAUCGCAUAUCCUAAUUUAAUGUUCAAUCCUAAAAUCCCACUACUUGUCUAAAUGUCCUUUUCUUUAAUUAGAAUUAAUAUCCUAUCUUUAUUUAUUUAUUUAUUUAUCAUCAACCCAAACUUCCAAAAAUCUCAUGAUUAUUAUUAUUAUUAUUAAUUCAAACUUUCAGGACCUUAUUAUUAUUAUUAAUUCAAACUUCCUAAACUUCCAAUAUCCAAGCCCAAUUUAUAAAAAUUCAACCUUCAAAUAAUACUUCAAAAUUCCGAUCUUUAAAACUCAAUUUCGAUUUCCGAAAAUUAUUAUACUCACUUUAAUCUAUUUAAUUAUUAUUAUUUUGAUUAUUUAUUUCAAAACUCCAUUUUAAAUCAAAUUCUCUAAAACUUCCGAUUUUCCGAAUCAAAUUCCUAAUCCCAAAAAUUCUCAUGUUCCCACUAAAUUAUUUGAUCAUUGGUAUUUUAUUUAUUUAUUUAUUUCAAAACUCCGUUUAUAUCAAAUUCUUUAAAAUCGUUGAUUUCCGAACUAAAUUCCUAAUCCCGAAAAUCCUCAUAUUCUCAUUAAUUUAUUUAAUCAUUAGUAUUUUAUCUCCAUUUUAAAUCAAUUCUUUAAAACUUCAGAUUUACAAAUUAAAUUCCUAAUCCUGAAAAUUCCCAUAUUCACAUUAAAUUAAUCACUAAUAGUUUGUUUAUUUAUCUCAAAAUUUUAUUUUAAACAGUUCUUUAAAAUUUCUGACUUCUGAAUUUAAUUUCCAAUUUCGAAAAUUCCAGUAUUCCCAUUCAUUUAUUCAAUCAUUACUUUCAUCCUUAUUAUUAUUAUUCCAUUUAUUUAUUUGUUUCAAAAUUCCAUUUUUAAACAUUUUUCUUUUGAAAUCCCAAUUUUCGAAUUUAAUUUCCGAUUUCUAGACUUCUAAUUUCUUUCAAGUUUGACAUCCUAAAAUUCCAACUCUUAAAUUUAAUUCUCAAGACUCCAAUCUUCAAAUAACUUUCGAGACUUCAAUUUCCAAAUAAAUCUCAAAAAUCCAAUUUUCUCUCGAACAGUUUUAAUUCCACUCCGAUAUUUAAAUAAUGUUCUAUUUCUUUUAAUUUAUACACAAGCAAGAAUGAUGAAUCUUCAUAAUUUCGAAAUAAUGGGAUUCGUGAGAUUAAUUCAUGCAAUAUGAAUCGGGCUUUGGCGGAGCCCAAAAUAUGUGAUUUCCUUAUGACUGAUUGAUUGAUUUAUUUAUUUAUUUUGUUUGAUUUAUUCUGUUCCUUGACAUGCGCAUAAUUUUAUCUAUUCGUGAUUCACUAAUCCUGUUUCAUGAUAGCGCAUUCGUGACUAGAGGACCAGGUACGUAUCCACUCACAUUUUGUUCAUUCUUUAUACAUGUUUUGAUUCCCAUAUGUGCAUGAUCGCUUCGAGUAUUCAUUGAUUUUCUCAUUGAUUGCCAUGUCAGCUUCAUUUUAUUAGUAGAAACCCGACUUUAGGGACUUAGAGGGGUGCUACGGUCGUUACCGUACCUUCCCGAUAAGUAACCUGACCCCUGAACCCGAUCCGGUUUUUCACAGACCAUCUUUUCCAAAGUAAGGAGUCACACUUAGGGUUUUUCUUUCUCAUUUUGUUUACCCUUUUAAAAAUAAAACAAAAAUAAGUGGCGACUCCAAGUCAAUUUUCUUAAUCAAAUAAAAAUCAAUUUUUCGAAAUGAAAUCGAGCUCGCCAUUCGAGUGGGAAACGCAUGAGCCAAAAUGCGGGGUCCACAAAUAGUUAAUAUUUUUCUAAGUUUGAAAAUCUAAAAUAUUCUUAAUAUAUUUUUUAUAUUUUUAAAUUAUUGUUUGUCUUUCUAAUAUUAAAAAUUAUUUUCAAAAACACUUCACUAUCUAGGAUCUAGACUGAAGGCUGUAUACACCUGAGAAGUGAUGGGAAGAGCAAUGCAGCUACCCCAGUGUAAUUUAGAUAGGAAAACCACCAAUCUGAAUAAGAGCUGUGAAUUUAGAGAGGGAUACUGGGAUAGGGCAAUAUCAUAGCACAGGCAAUUUUCUUUGCUGCUGAGUUUUGUUCACACUGGGCUUUCGCAGCCAUGCAUGGUCUGUUGCAUCAGAGUCCCCACACCAGUUAAUGAUAUUGGAUGGGAUCAACCCCAUUUCAUCAUGGAUGACGCUGCUCAUGAUUUUGAUUGUAUUGGCCGAUUGGAGAAAUAAUGUUUUUAAUAAAAAUAAUAUUAAAUAUUUUAAAUCCUUUUUAAUGAUAAAGACAAAGUUUGACAUGUUUUUUAAAAUAAUUUUGAAAAAGAGAUUUCAAAAAUGGUUCUGGUGUUUUUAGAAAUAAAAUUUCAUUUGAAUACUAAAUUCUAAAAAACAAUUUUUUAUUUUCAAAAAUUAAAAAUAAUACAUUUGAUGAGUUAAUAAAAAUAGUUUUACAAAAUAAGUAAAAAAGAAAACUUGUUUGGAAAAUGUCUUUUUAAAUUGAGUGCUUUCUUUAAUUAACUUGAUUUUAUAAAUAUAAAUCAUUUUUAUAUUUACUCUUCAUUAAAAUUUAAAGUAAUUGUACCAAUUUUUAAAAAUAAUUAUAAAUUAUGUGAAUACAUUUACAGGUAUAUUAGAUGUCUCGAUAUAGGUAUGUUGGUGGGGGCAUUCUAAAGGUGCAACACAUUAUUCAAAUUCGCGUCUUGAUCAUCAGCUCAAGCAAUUUUGAUGGUACAUCAAUUUCCAUGUCACAGUCUGAUAAGGAUGAAACAUGCAAUAUGAUAAUUAAAAAGUUUAAAAAAUUAUAAAAUGUUAUUAAAUUUAUUAAAAAAUAAUUAUGAUUAAAUGAGUUUAAUAAUUAAAUUUAGACUAUAUUAUUAAAUCUACAUGAGGAUACAAUAUCAUCAAAUUGACAUUAUUUGGUAAUAUAAUAAAUACAUAAUUACCAUAUAAAAUAAUAUAUGACCAAUUCUUAUUCAAGUCAUAUAAAGUUUAUAUAAUACACCAUAUAUAUGUUACCAUUACCAUAUAAAUGACACAUCAUGUGAUUGAAUUUGAAUAAUGUCACAGCCACAAUGGUAUCUUUGGAUCCAAGGAAUUGUUUUCAUCUUCAUAUUAUGAGUUUUAAAAGUUCUGUUAUGAGAGAAUCUCAUAUUUUUAGAGAUUUUUCUCUAUUUUUUUUUAGAUUUAUCUUUAUUUUUUUCAAAGAUUUUUCCCUGUUUUUCCCAAAAACAAUAUUAUAUGUUUUUUUUAGAGAGUUUUUUUUUCAAUUUUUUCAAAAGAUUCUCUACUUUUUAAAAAAAUUUCUCUAUUUUGGUUGUUGGUGGUAGAGACAUUCAAAAUAUAGACGAUGAAAGGAGGUAUCAAGAGCACGAAGAAUGCUCUUAAUGAAAAUACAAAGAACAAGUUUUUCUUUGGUUUUCUAAACAAUGCAAAAAAUAGGAGAAACAAGUUUAAAAUUAUGCAUUGUUAAAAUAUUUAAUUUUUAUAUUAAAAAGUUAAAAUAAGUUCAACGAAUUUAAAGUAGCAUAUAAAAAUAAUUUAUUAAUUUUAAAUAUAUUUUUUAUUUUCUUUUGCUUUGCUUUUGUUUUCUAUUUUCUUUUUUCUUUGAAAUUGUCUAGAAACCAAACAUAACCUUAGUAUUUCAUUUAACUGUAAUCAAUAACCGUAAUUCCAGCAAAAAUUGUCCCUAUCUAUGAUCCUAACAAAAACUUUAGUGGUUUUUCCUAAUUUUAUUGAUAAAGCGUAGUUUAGAUAAAUUUUUUAUUUUUUAUUUUUUUAAAAAUAGAACUUUUGUAUAAAAAAUAGAAACUCUUAUAUAAAAGUAUAAACCUACCUUAUGUCCUUAAAAAUUAUUUUAAAAUUUUAAAAGUUGAGGUAAUUCAAUUUUUUUAAUUAAUCUUUAUAAACUAUUACACUUUCAAGGUAAGUUCUUGUAUUUUACGUAAAAAUAAAAAAUAAAAAUAAAAAUUGCAUAUGGAAACAAACAUUAAGUAAUUCAAUAUUUUUAAAUUUAUAAUUUUUCUAUUAUCAUGUAUAAUACAAGAAAGAAAAAUAAAUUUUCAUAAAUUUAUAUUUAAUGUUUUGUACUCAUUUUUCUCUUGAUUUUACAAGAGAUCUUCACUUCUUAUCAUUUUUAGGGAAAAGUGGGUUUUGACUCACUAAUUUGAAAAAAAUAUAGAAAAAAAACUUCAACUUUAAUAAAUCAGUUUUAUUUUCAUCCAUUUAAAAAUAUUUUAAGAUAGAUACACUUUUACAUAAGUCAAAUAAUUAUUUACUUGAAAUAUCCUUUUACUUUAAUAAUAUUAAAAAAAAAAUUUGUCAUUUUAAUUUGAUAAAAGGAUAUAACAAAUAAAUAUAUCUUAAUUUUUUUUAUUAUAUAAUAUGAGAUACAAAUCAUUUUGAAAAAAAUUCUAAGAUUUCAAGUAAUAAAUAAAAUAUUUUUAAUAAAAAUAUUUAAGAUAUAUUUAUUUGGAAUAUACUUUUAUCGAAUUAAAAUGAUAAAUUAAUUUUUUAAUAAUUCUAUUCAAUAUUAUCAAGUAAAAGGGUAUUUUAGGAAAUAAUUAUCUAACUUAUGAAAAAGUGAAUAUAUUUUAAAAUAUUUUUAAAUAAAUGAUGAUAAAAUUGAUUUAUAAAAGUUAAAGUUCUUUAUAUAUAUUUUUUCGAAUUAGUGAGUCAAAACUCACUUUUCCCUAAUUUUUAAUUAUCACUAGUCAUGUUUUCAAUUGGUUAGAGAAAAAUCGCUAAAAUUUUAUUUUAUUUACAUAUUAUUAGAUCCUACAAAUAAAUAAUAUUUUUCAUUUAGCAUUACUCAAUAAAAUCCUAAUUAUCCUAAACCUCAUGCCUUUAACUUUUGGACCAUAAUACACAAUUUCUAAGUCUCAAUGCUAACUUAAAAAUUUUAUUAUCAUUAAUAUUUUAUAUUAUUGUGAUAUGUGUAUGAGUCCCUUUUAAUCUUGUAAAUAUAUUUUAAAAUUGGAAAGACUUCUUCAAUUUAUAGUAUAUAAAAUCUACACAAUUUGGAGCAAAUUAUUAUAAUAAAUAACAUCAAAGCAAGCCAAUCUCUGACCCCAAUUUAUUUCUCACACCUACUACCUUUAUUCUUGUUUCUUCCUUUGUUCUUCAUGUUUAUUUAAUAUUGAUCUUGAAUUAGAAAAACCUUUUUCAUGCUUCUUGAUCUCCUCAGUCAUAAUCAUGUUUACUACCUUUUAAAACACCAUUUUGAAUUUUCCAAACGAACCAUGAUCGAAGGGAUGGUGCCCUUCCAACUCUCAAGCAAUUCACUAAGGAUUAAUAAGCCUUAUAUUUCAUCAUCAAAUUUAAUGUCAAUUGAAUUUAAUUAAUUCAUGAUAUCAUUAAAUUCAUUCAAAUGUUGCAUAAGAUUUUUGUUCUCAAACAUCUUCAAAUCAAUUUUUAUUUUUUUUAAUUAGAUGUACUUUAUUUGUUGUAGAAGAUUGUUCAUACAUGGUGGUUAGGGCAUCAUGAGGGACAUUGUGUAUUCUUCUUCUUUAUAUAUAUAUAUAUAUGUUGAAAACAACUGAUUUUUAUAAGGUUAACCUAAUCGCACCAAGAACUUUGUGAUCAAGCAAAUUCCAUUCCUUUUCAUGCAUCAACUCUAGUUUUUUUCCUAGUGGCAGAUACAAAUCUUUUUGGUAUAGAUAAUCCCCCAUUUCGCAUCUUCUAUUUUGUGUGGAUCCUUCUCUAAUCCCAUUACUUUCACUCAAAUGGUGAUUGGUCGAAUAUAAGUUAUAUAACAAGGUUAGGAUUUGCAAACUUGGGCACUUUGAUACUAAUUAUUAACAUAAUCAUAGAUACAUGAGUAUAAAUAAAUAAAUAAAAAAUUUAACAUGGUUUAACAAUCAAUGUAAUCCUCGUAUUCAUGGAGCACACUAACACUUAAAGAUCUACUAAUCAAAUGAAGAUAAAAAUGUGAUAACGGAGAAGGCUCUCCUUAUCCACGUAAUUGUGACCAUACACUUUUUUUUGUACUCACUCGUUAAUCCCUUAGCUCAAUCCUCAACAUCAUCUACCCGACGUAAUAAGAUUGGUCCAAUCUUCACAAUCCAACAAAACUUACAUUAAAUAACUCAACAAAAAGCCUAAAAAUGGAUGACUAACCACGAACAAAGCCCUUGAUAAGCAAAAAGAAUACCCCAACUGUGUAUUCUUUUUUUUUUUUUUUAGUUGAAAACAAUCGAUUUUUACAAAGUUAACCUAAUUGCACCAAGAACUUUGCGAUGAAGCAAAUUCCAUUCCUUUUCAUGCAUUAACUCUAGCUUCACUCCCAGUGGCAGAUACAAAUAUUUUUGGUAUAAAUAAUCCUCUAUUUCGCAUCUUCUAUUUUGCGUGAAUCCUUCUCUAAUCUCAUUGCUUUCACUUAAAUGGUGGUUGGUUGAACAUAACAAGGCUAGGAUUUGCAAACUUGGGCACUUAGAUACUAAUUAUUAACACAACCAUGAUACAAGAGUAUAAAUAAGAAAAAAACCAAUAGAUUUUAACAUGGUUCAACAACCAAUAUAAUCCUUCAUGGAGCACACUAACACUUAAACUAAUCAAACGAAAAUAAAAAUGUUAUAACGGAGAACACUCUCUUUAUCCACUUAAUUGUGACCGUACACUUUUUUUUGUACUCACUCAUUAAUCCCUUAGCUCAAUCCUCAACAUCAUCUACCCCGUGUAAUAAGACUGGUCCAAUCUUCACGAUCCAACAAAACUUACAUUAAAUAACUUAACAAAAAGCCUCGAAAUGGAUGACUAACCACGAACAAAGCCCUUGAUAAACAAAAAGAACAUUUAUAGACCUUUUUUUGUACUCAUUAUCAAAUUGGUCAGAGAACUCAUCAAACCACACGUUACCUCCUCGUUCGCUUGGCCUCCCUAGAGCUAGCUCAUCAAUGUGAUAUGUAUAUGUGUAGAUUACAUUAUCCAAACAGUGAGUCAGAAAAAAUAAUAAUAAUAAUAACAGAUGAAAAUGUAUCUUCAAAAUUCACUGUAAAGUUCUGCCUUUAAAGACUGAAGUUCAUGGGAUAGGGGAUUGGAUUAUGUUUGGUACGAAAUCUGGGAUGAACCUUGUCUGUUCCCAUCCUUCAACUACUCUAGACUAUACUUCUGGAUCUUUCAACCAUUCAAAGCCCCAACGAGACCUUGAAAGCUGCUUUUUCAGAUGCUUCAGUAACGGGGAAGGUUUUUGGUGACAACACAUGGUGGAGAAAGGAAGAGAAUUAUGAUUGGAAGCUUACAUAACUAGACAUUCCAUUCCCUAAUAUUGCAGCUCCACACCUUAAGCCUUUUCACCCUUUUCUCAACAAGCUGUGAUAAACAGAAGUCAUAUAAACGGUAGGUAAAAUGGAUGAAUGAGCUGGCUAGAGAAGAUCAUCAUGGACUAUUUUAGAUUAUCAUCCAGGAGAAUUUGUCAAAGCACCUUGGAUGCUUCCCAGCCGUGGAACAACAAGGAGGUGGUUCUACCCUGAAAAUUUUGAACCUGAGAAAAAAACUUCAUCAAGGCUCUACUUUCUUUUUGAGAAGAAUAUGUAAAUGAUAGAAAUAAAGAAAAUAAAACCUAAUACAUACAUCACUAAUAAUCAAUGCAAUUUGGAUUUUGUUCGAGUGUUGCAGUUUGGAAAUUAUCAAUUCAGAUUGUCUACUUUCAAGACCUAAGAUGGUUGCACAUGGUGACGGUCUUUAAUCCUCUUUUUUAAAUUAAUGCAAUUUUUCACCAAAAAUUGUUUUGUGCCUGCAUGGAGUUCCACAUACUAGCUUUUUUUUUUUUUUUCUUUCCUUUUUGGGAGAAAGAAAAUGAAAGAACAUGUUAGAUUUUGAGUCCAUUAACUCCUUUAGAAUUGAAUAAAUAAUUUGACUCUUUCUUGACUUUAAUACAACCACUUAGCUUGCCUAACUUUCAUACAUCUAUUUGACUUGAUUUAGGUAGGUGAUUUGUCUUCUUUUUUUACACUAAAAGAGACACAAAUUAAAAAUUAAUCAGACUGGGUUCACUUUCCAAACGAUUGAGGAAACAAUUUUUUCCGGUCUAAUUGUAAAUAAGUACUUAAACUUAGGUUAGUUUUAGCUUUAAAGUUAGACAUAAUCAAUAGGCCUUCCAAGAGAGAACAGGACGAAGUACUCAAAGAACAACUAUUUUCAUUGAAAUAAAAGGAUUGCAACAAUGUCUCAUUUAUCUAUGAUCCAAAAUGCAGCACUUGAACAGGGUAUGUUUAGUAUUAAGAGAUUAUAUUAAAAUAUUAAUCCGAUAUCUUAAAAUUGAAAUUAAGAAAUUGUUAAUGUAUUUAUUUUGAAAUUGAUUCAUAUUUAAUAAAAUUUUUAUAAUAUUAAUAUUAUGUUAAUAUCGAGUAUCUAUUGCUAUUUCAUUUUCUAAUUAAAAUAAUAAUAAAUUAAAAGGAAACAUAGAAAUAGCUCUUAAAAACCAUUAAGGUAGCAUUAAAGUUGCAUGAUAGCAAAAUGAGUAGACUAUUAAUGGAGUUCAACACACAAACAAGCCUGGCAAGCGCCAUGAGCACCGAGCAGUGCUCAUUGCAGCCCUUAUUUAAGCAAACUCAUAGACCAGCGUGCAUUAUUUUACAUAGAUCCACUCGAAGAUGCGUUUAAUUAUUAGUUCUUAACAUCAUCUUCAAACUCGGCAUCAGGGGCCUCAUUAGCAUCAACACAGCACCUCUGGCACCCAGAUCCAUAUCGGUAUGAACGGCAGCAACCAUGGCAGCAACCAUAUUGGCAGCCACCAUGCCCGUGCCCAUGCCCGCCCCCAUAACCACCUUGAUGGCCUCCUCCAUAACCACCUUGAUGCCCUCCUCCAUACCCACCCUGAUACCCGUUUCCGGGGCCUCCAUAGGACUUGCUCUCCUGAACACCCUUGCCUUCUGUGCUUUUCUCUGUAAUACAAACAGAAAAUUAAUAUAUGUCAUAUAAUGCGAACUAUCAAAAGCAUCUAUAAUGAAGUAGGUUGCUCAGAGUUUCUGUAGUGCUUUCAGAUUGGCAAUGUCCAAUUAAUGGUACGUUUCUCGAACUGCUUUUCUGAAGAGGCAAUAGAUGAUGCACAGAUGUGUACAUAUAUUGGAACAAAAAUGCGCCAGAAGAAAGGGAGGAGAGAUAAAAUCACCUGUUUCAUGAACGGAAGCAGAUACUUCAGAUGAGAUCAAGCAAACAAGAGCGAAGACAAGAGCGAAAAGAAAAAGGGAAGCUUUAGAACCAGCCAUUUGCAAGCCUCAGAAAAGAAACAAAGAUUUCUAUCACUGAAAGUUCUAUGUGAGAAGCGGUGACAAGAGCAAUGCAGCUCUUCCCCUAUUUAUAGCCUAAAUGGAGUUGCGGAGAGAGAGAGAGCAGUGGCUGCCCUGUAAAUAUCACAUGCAAUUAUCGUUUUCUUAUGAGUUUCUGAGCAUGUCACCGACUUUGUAGCUAGGGUUCAUGCAUGAGAGCAGUGGCUGCCCUGUAAAUAUCACAUGCAAUUGUCGUUUUCUUCUGAGUUCUGAGCAUAUCACUGACUUUGUAGCUAGGGUUCUUGCAUGAGAGUCCCCACAUGAGUUAAUGAUAUUGGAUAGGAUCGAUUCUACGUCAUCUAUGACGCUUGUCUUCAUCCCUCUUGACUCUAUAGUAUACUAUAACUCCACCCCAUAUUGUUCUUGACGAUUUUCUUUGUUGUCAGUUCACUGCCGCGCAGCAGGAUGGUGGUGUUGCUGCAGAGUUAACCAGGCACUGAGUCUCUCCCUGUCACAUCACCAAG